rnacentral:rRNA from 3 species
UGGGGAAUUUUGCACAAUGGGGGAAACCCUGAUGCAGCGACGCCGCGUGAUUUAGAAGGCCUUCGGGUUGUAAAAAUCUUUUCUAUGGGAAGAAAAUGACAGUACCAUAGGAAUAAGGACCGGCUAACUACGUGCCAGCAGCCGCGGUAAUACGUAGGGGGCUAGCGUUGUCCGGAAUCACUGGGCGUAAAGGGUUCGCAGGCGGAAAUGCAAGUCAGGUGUAAAAGGCAGUAGCUUAACUACUGUAAGCAUUUGAAACUGCAUAUCUUGAGAAGAGUAGAGGUAAGUGGAAUUUUUAGUGUAGCGGUGAAAUGCGUAGAUAUUAAAAAGAAUACCGGUGGCGAAGGCGACUUACUGGGCUCAUUCUGACGCUGAGGAACGAAAGCGUGGGUAGCAAACAGG